GCCGCACCGGAACCCGUGCUCUGUGUAUGCGUGCAACUUUACGUGCUCGAUAUACUAUAUAUCGUAUAAGUGCGCGCGCGUGCAUUUACACACUUCCUUUACAUGUAUAUCACUAUAUACACGAUUUAUAAUAGAAGAUACAACGUUUGUAUGUACAGCUAACUUCUUUUCUCAAAAGUCUUGUCAGUCAAAAAAUGCAUAUACGUAUAUGUACAAUAAUGCAUAUACAUAUAUACACACAUAUAUGUACGCACGUAUAUAUAUAUAUAUAUAUAUAUAUGCAAAGAAACAGUAGAGAGGGAGAAGAACAGGGGUUAACGUAAAGAACUUGUGUCGUCCGUUUGUGAUACCUCGAUCGCGGUGGGUGUCGCGAAUGACUGUGUUCAAGAAGUGUGCGAGAGUCACUACGCGUUGGGUACCCUACCACAUGCCACUACCACUAUCAUGAUUUCCACUACCAUCGCACUCGGCUGCCAGCACUACCACUAUGGAACCAGUACGCACCACUAAACUCGGCGAAUAUAUAUCGGUAUCAGUGAAUGGCAAGAACGAAACAAUACGACGAACAUGGGCACCAAUAUGACACGUCAGACUUUGUAAGAAACGGAAUAUUACGAUGUAAUUCUAUGCAGCUUUUUUACACCAAUGAUGUAACGUGAUGAAACGAUGGAAAUGGAAAUGUCGCGAUCGUUUUACGAAACCAUUAAGCGACAAAGAAGAAUUCCUGGAUAUAUAGAAGAUAAAUAUCCAUGGAAAUACAUCAAUGAACUGAGUAUUAUACAUAUACAAUGAAUUCGAUUUCGUUGAUUUACAUGUGUCGAAAUGACGUAGACGUUAAAUGUGUCUAUAUAAUAAAUGGAUGCAAAUCUACCCGUAUGUCCAUCGCAUACGUAAAAACACAUAAACCAGACAUUAAUGCUCCUUCCGUAACGAAAUUUCAAUCGAGACAGACGAUUCAACGCUGCUCCCCCGAAUCUCACUUCGGAUCUAAAAAUAGAACGGCGAAGGGUGUUCUCGAAAGGAAUACGGUUUCUUUUCCUUCUUUUAUUCGGCAGUUCGAACACCAAAGAUCGACUGGAUACAGAUUCGAAACCACGGCAAAGAAGAGAGAGAAAAAGAGGAAAAAAA